rnacentral:misc_RNA from 1 species
GUUGAAGAAAAUCUGCUGCAGGCUUAUGCUUUAGCUGUUUUGGCCUUUGCAGAGUUGGCAUUGUGUCUCAUUUUGUUGACCAGAGGACCAAACUGAUCGUGAAGAGGGUAAGAUGCGACAUGUCGAUUUGAUGUACUGUUGCAAGACUAGAUUCAGUUGUUUGACUGUCAACAUUUGUCGCCCACAUAAACAUGUAGCUUGACUUGUGGUUUCUCUCUUCUUCUGUUGAGAUGUCAGAAUCUAUUGUCUUAUGUUUGUUUCUGAUAAACCUAGACUUCCACCAUAAUUUUUCCAUACA